CUAGCAGCCAGAGAGGAAGGAGCUCUGCCUGACUGCAGACUGAUUAAAAAAUGGCAACCCUGACCUGACAGUGAGCCUCUUCAGUUAUUUGAGGACUGAUUUCAAGCAGCUGUGCAGGGCCCAAGACCCCGUGUCAACAUGCUCGCAGACCCCAUGUGGGCAAGCCAAGACCCCCAACUCCAGCAGGAAGAUUUACCUGGGAAACUCAAAAUGAAGGAGUCCUAGCUACA